rnacentral:misc_RNA from 1 species
GAUGAAGAACGUAGUGAAAUGCGAUAAGUAAUGUGAAUUGCAGAAUUCAGUGAAUCAUCGAAUCUUUGAACGCACAUUGCGCCCGCCAGUAUUCUGGCGGGCAUGCCUGUUCGAGCGUCAUUUCAACCAUCAAGCCCCAGGCUUGUGUUGGGGACCUGCGGCUGCCGCAGGCCCUGAAAACCAGUGGCGGGCUCGCUGUCACACCGGGCGUAGUAGAUUUUAUCUCGCUCUGGGCGUGCUGCGGGUUCCGGCCGUUAAAAAACCCUUUUUACCCAAGGUUGACCUCGGAUCAGGUAGGAAUACCCGCUGAACUUAAGCAUAUCAAUAAGCGGAGGA